rnacentral:rRNA from 1 species
AGAGUUUGAUCAUGGCUCAGAUUGAACGCUGGCGGCAGGCCUAACACAUGCAAGUCGAGCGGAUGAGAGGAGCUUGCUCCUUGAUUUAGCGGCGGACGGGUGAGUAAUGCCUAGGAAUCUGCCUGGUAGUGGGGGAUAACGUUCCGAAAGGAACGCUAAUACCGCAUACGUCCUACGGGAGAAAGCAGGGGACCUUCGGGCCUUGCGCUAUCAGAUGAGCCUAGGUCGGAUUAGCUAGUUGGUGAGGUAAUGGCUCACCAAGGCGACGAUCCGUAACUGGUCUGAGAGGAUGAUCAGUCACACUGGAACUGAGACACGGUCCAGACUCCUACGGGAGGCAGCAGUGGGGAAUAUUGGACAAUGGGCGAAAGCCUGAUCCAGCCAUGCCGCGUGUGUGAAGAAGGUCUUCGGAUUGUAAAGCACUUUAAGUUGGGAGGAAGGGCAUUAACCUAAUACGUUAGUGUUUUGACGUUACCGACAGAAUAAGCACCGGCUAACUUCGUGCCAGCAGCCGCGGUAAUACGAAGGGUGCAAGCGUUAAUCGGAAUUACUGGGCGUAAAGCGCGCGUAGGUGGUUCGUUAAGUUGGAUGUGAAAGCCCCGGGCUCAACCUGGGAACUGCAUCCAAAACUGGCGAGCUAGAGUACGGUAGAGGGUGGUGGAAUUUCCUGUGUAGCGGUGAAAUGCGUAGAUAUAGGAAG